rfam:Dipodomys ordii contig_29203, whole genome shotgun sequence.
GGGAAUGUGGCUUAGUGGAGGGUGCUUGCCUUGCAUGCAUGAAGCCCUGGGUUCAAUUCCUCAGUUCCA